AAACAAUUAUUUCUAGUAAGACGGGUGGCUUUACUUUUCCAGACGACUAUUAUACACUUUGAAUUUUGAUAGUUGACUCGUUGUAAAUAUUAUAUCUGCUCAUAUUAUGAACUUUGUAAUUAGUUUAGAUGAAACAUCAGCGUUACUGAUGCUCUUUUAUGUAUAAUGUAAAUAAUUUCUUCCUUGUUACUCUGUUCAUUUAUUAGAAAUUGUUUCAUUCAAAUUUGCUUGAAAUGGCACAGCUACGCGCAGCUCCCCCCAAUUUUAUUGGCGGUUGACGGUUCUACGAAACUUUUAUCUGAGGGCUAAAACUUGUCGCAGCACCGUCAAUUUGGCAGAUUUCGCUGCGCUUAAAGAACAUAUUUGCAGUUUACAGACUUAUUUAAAUCGUAUGAUAGCAUUAGCCUCUGAUUUCCAGGGUUAAUAGCUUAUCUUGAACUUGCCCCUUUUCAUAUAUGGUCUGCCACCUCGAACAUAUUCGGCGAUCAUCAUACAACAUUUUCAAAGAAACAUGCAUUUCUAUCACUGAAUUUUAGUUCAUAUCAUAUCAAAAAUUGCAUUUCAUAUAAUAGUACAUAUAUCAUAUUUGUUAAUAAAUGCUGUGGCCAUUUCCUGCCAACUCUAAUUUGUUAUUUUUUUAAAUGAGCAUCUAAGAUAAUAAGAUUUAAAAUCUAAAUUUUAAAUCAGUUAUCGGUUGUGCUCAGGCACCAUGUCCGUUAUACUACUUCGUCAAUUAUUAUUAUUAUUUGGUUUUUAAUUGGAUUUUCGAUCUUCCCAAGUGAUUGAUUUACCCAUAAUCCUCCUUUUACCGUCGACAUUUGGCAAAAGAAGACGCUUUUUAGAGCAAACCCGCCCACCCUCCCCUUAAUUUGUUAGAAUGCAAUUCCUGCGGAAGAUACUGCUGUUUGGUUUUUGUUUGUUUAUUUCAGAUUUGUAUUGUCCACAUAGAUUAUAUCGUCAUACCAUGUUGAACGCUGUUCAGAUUCUAAUAUAGAGACUGUCAAGCAACGAAAAAUAGAUGAUUAUAGAGGUAUACUGGCCGUAAAAGAGUGGACAUACACAGAAAUUGAAAGGAUAACUUGGAAGUGAUUAAUUAUGGAUUUUAUUACAUUCUACAAUGUUCUAACAUGUGAAAUAGUUGCAGAUUUGAAUUAAUCAAUGAUAGCGAUAACUUCUGAUUUCCAGAGUUAGUCGUUUGAUUUAUGGCAGAUUUCGCUGCGCUUAAAGAACAUAUUUGCAGUUUACAGACUUAUUUAAAUCGUAUGAUAGCAUUAGCCUCUGAUUUCCAGGGUUAAUAGCUUAUCUUGAACUUGCCCCUUUUCAUAUAUGGUCUGCCACCUCGAACAUAUUCGGCGAUCAUCAUACAACAUUUUCAAAGAAACAUAUGCAUUUCUAUCACUGAAUUUUAG
rnacentral:lncRNA from 1 species